rnacentral:rRNA from 1 species
GAUGAACGCUGGCGGCGUGCCUAAUACAUGCAAGUCGAACGAGGUGCUUUUUGUAGCAAUACGAGAGGUAUCCUAGUGGCGAACGGGUGAGUAACGCGUUGGUGACCUACCCCAAAGUGUGGGAUAACAGUCCGAAAGGAUUGCUAAUACCGCAUGUGGUCUUCGGAUUUAGAAACUGACGACUAAAGGAGUAAUCCGCUUUGGGAGGGACCUGCGUCCCAUCAGCUAGUUGGUGAGGUAACGGCCCACCAAGGCGACGACGGGUAGGGGACCUGAGAGGGUGGCCCCCCCANAAUGGAACUGAAACACGGUCCAUACACCUACGGGUGGCAGCAGUAGGGAAUAUUGCACAAUGGGCGAAAGCCUGAUGCAGCAACGCCGCGUGUGCGAUGAAGGCCUUCGGGUCGUAAAGCACUUUUCUGGGAGAUGAGAAAGGACAGUAUCUCAGGAAUAAGUCUCGGCUAACUACGUGCCAGCAGCCGCGGUAAAGUCAC